CAGCACCGCGGGAAUACGUAGGUGGCAAGCGUUAUCCGGAAUUAUUGGGCGUAAAGCGCGCGUAGGCGGUUUUUUAAGUCUGAUGUGAAAGCCCACGGCUCAACCGUGGAGGGUCAUUGGAAACUGGAAAACUUGAGUGCAGAAGAGGAAAGUGGAAUUCCAUGUGUAGCGGUGAAAUGCGCAGAGAUAUGGAGGAACACCAGUGGCGAAGGCGACUUUCUGGUCUGUAACUGACGCUGAUGUGCGAAAGCGUGGGGAUCAAACAGGAUUAGAUACCCGAGUAGUCCCUGUCUCUUAUACA
rnacentral:rRNA from 1 species